UUAAGCGACUAAGCGUACACGGUGGAUGCCCUGGCAGUCAGAGGCGAUGAAGGACGUGCUAAUCUGCGAUAAGCGUCGGUAAGGUGAUAUGAACCGUUAUAACCGGCGAUUUCCGAAUGGGGAAACCCAGUGUGUUUCGACACACUAUCAUUAACUGAAUCCAUAGGUUAAUGAGGCGAACCGGGGGAACUGAAACAUCUAAGUACCCCGAGGAAAAGAAAUCAACCGAGAUUCCCCCAGUAGCGGCGAGCGAACGGGGAGCAGCCCAGAGCCUGAAUCAGUGUGUGUGUUAGUGGAAGCGUCUGGAAAGGCGCGCGAUACAGGGUGACAGCCCCGUACACAAAAAUGCACAUAUUGUGAGCUCGAUGAGUAGGGCGGGACACGUGGUAUCCUGUCUGAAUAUGGGGGGACCAUCCUCCAAGGCUAAAUACUCCUGACUGACCGAUAGUGAACCAGUACCGUGAGGGAAAGGCGAAAAGAACCCCGGCGAGGGGAGUGAAAAAGAACCUGAAACCGUGUACGUACAAGCAGUGGGAGCACGCUUAGGCGUGUGACUGCGUACCUUUUGUAUAAUGGGUCAGCGACUUAUAUUCUGUAGCAAGGUUAACCGAAUAGGGGAGCCGAAGGGAAACCGAGUCUUAACUGGGCGUUAAGUUGCAGGGUAUAGACCCGAAACCCGGUGAUCUAGCCAUGGGCAGGUUGAAGGUUGGGUAACACUAACUGGAGGACCGAACCGACUAAUGUUGAAAAAUUAGCGGAUGACUUGUGGCUGGGGGUGAAAGGCCAAUCAAACCGGGAGAUAGCUGGUUCUCCCCGAAAGCUAUUUAGGUAGCGCCUCGUGAAUUCAUCUCCGGGGGUAGAGCACUGUUUCGGCAAGGGGGUCAUCCCGACUUACCAACCCGAUGCAAACUGCGAAUACCGGAGAAUGUUAUCACGGGAGACACACGGCGGGUGCUAACGUCCGUCGUGAAGAGGGAAACAACCCAGACCGCCAGCUAAGGUCCCAAAGUCAUGGUUAAGUGGGAAACGAUGUGGGAAGGCCCAGACAGCCAGGAUGUUGGCUUAGAAGCAGCCAUCAUUUAAAGAAAGCGUAAUAGCUCACUGGUCGAGUCGGCCUGCGCGGAAGAUGUAACGGGGCUAAACCAUGCACCGAAGCUGCGGCAGCGACGCUUAUGCGUUGUUGGGUAGGGGAGCGUUCUGUAAGCCUGUGAAGGUGUGCUGUGAGGCAUGCUGGAGGUAUCAGAAGUGCGAAUGCUGACAUAAGUAACGAUAAAGCGGGUGAAAAGCCCGCUCGCCGGAAGACCAAGGGUUCCUGUCCAACGUUAAUCGGGGCAGGGUGAGUCGACCCCUAAGGCGAGGCCGAAAGGCGUAGUCGAUGGGAAACAGGUUAAUAUUCCUGUACUUGGUGUUACUGCGAAGGGGGGACGGAGAAGGCUAUGUUGGCCGGGCGACGGUUGUCCCGGUUUAAGCGUGUAGGCUGGUUUUCCAGGCAAAUCCGGAAAAUCAAGGCUGAGGCGUGAUGACGAGGCACUACGGUGCUGAAGCAACAAAUGCCCUGCUUCCAGGAAAAGCCUCUAAGCAUCAGGUAACAUCAAAUCGUACCCCAAACCGACACAGGUGGUCAGGUAGAGAAUACCAAGGCGCUUGAGAGAACUCGGGUGAAGGAACUAGGCAAAAUGGUGCCGUAACUUCGGGAGAAGGCACGCUGAUAUGUAGGUGAAGUCCCUUGCGGAUGGAGCUGAAAUCAGUCGAAGAUACCAGCUGGCUGCAACUGUUUAUUAAAAACACAGCACUGUGCAAACACGAAAGUGGACGUAUACGGUGUGACGCCUGCCCGGUGCCGGAAGGUUAAUUGAUGGGGUCAGCGCAAGCGAAGCUCUUGAUCGAAGCCCCGGUAAACGGCGGCCGUAACUAUAACGGUCCUAAGGUAGCGAAAUUCCUUGUCGGGUAAGUUCCGACCUGCACGAAUGGCGUAAUGAUGGCCAGGCUGUCUCCACCCGAGACUCAGUGAAAUUGAACUCGCUGUGAAGAUGCAGUGUACCCGCGGCAAGACGGAAAGACCCCGUGAACCUUUACUAUAGCUUGACACUGAACAUUGAGCCUUGAUGUGUAGGAUAGGUGGGAGGCUUUGAAGUGUGGACGCCAGUCUGCAUGGAGCCGACCUUGAAAUACCACCCUUUAAUGUUUGAUGUUCUAACGUGGACCCGUGAUCCGGGUUGCGGACAGUGUCUGGUGGGUAGUUUGACUGGGGCGGUCUCCUCCUAAAGAGUAACGGAGGAGCACGAAGGUUGGCUAAUCCUGGUCGGACAUCAGGAGGUUAGUGCAAUGGCAUAAGCCAGCUUGACUGCGAGCGUGACGGCGCGAGCAGGUGCGAAAGCAGGUCAUAGUGAUCCGGUGGUUCUGAAUGGAAGGGCCAUCGCUCAACGGAUAAAAGGUACUCCGGGGAUAACAGGCUGAUACCGCCCAAGAGUUCAUAUCGACGGCGGUGUUUGGCACCUCGAUGUCGGCUCAUCACAUCCUGGGGCUGAAGUAGGUCCCAAGGGUAUGGCUGUUCGCCAUUUAAAGUGGUACGCGAGCUGGGUUUAGAACGUCGUGAGACAGUUCGGUCCCUAUCUGCCGUGGGCGCUGGAGAACUGAGGGGGGCUGCUCCUAGUACGAGAGGACCGGAGUGGACGCAUCACUGGUGUUCGGGUUGUCAUGCCAAUGGCACUGCCCGGUAGCUAAAUGCGGAAGAGAUAAGUGCUGAAAGCAUCUAAGCACGAAACUUGCCCCGAGAUGAGUUCUCCCUGACCCUUUAAGGGUCCUGAAGGAACGUUGAAGACGACGACGUUGAUAGGCCGGGUGUGUAAGCGCAGCGAUGCGUUGAGCUAACCGGUACUAAUGAACCGUGAGGCUUAACCUU
rnacentral:rRNA from 3 species